GUAGUGAAAAAAUAUGAACCUGCCAAAACUAACACAGUCAAUACAUGGUACAGUUGUAUAUCUUCAAUAUUUUCACAUCAAAUAUGAAAUUGAGAAACAUAUUUGAAAGCACCACAGAAUGUACUUGAUGACAUACAUGCACCAUGCAGGUGUACACUUGCAUCUUGAGUGCACAAAUGCAUUCUAAUUUCAAACAAGUAAUAGCUUUUCGAAAAAGCUAGCCGUCUCUUAGCUUUAGGAUGAAAGUAGAAAGUGUUAAAAUUUAUAAAGGCUAAUCCAAUUUUUCCUAAUUUACCAAUGUUUUUUGGGGAUAAUUUACCAACACUGGAUUAGAAGGGAUGAUGCCUUAACUCUUUUUUUUAAUUAAAUAUGAAAAUAUUUAUAAAAGUAUAUUUUAAACAUGGCUCUGGGAUAAUUCUUGUUUUUGCCAGUAUUUUUACAUAUAUAUUACACUUGUUAAUGUCUUACUUGAAAUACUACAUGAAUGCAUUAUAAAGCUAAAAAAAAAGCACAUAAAUGUACAGUGUGUAUCUUCAUACAGGGGCGGAUCCAGCCAUUUAAAAAAGGGUGGGGUUCCCAACCCAGGUUAAAAGGGGGGGGGGUCAAACUAUAUGUCCCAUUCAAAUGCAUUGAUCGUCCAAAAAAAGGGGGGUUCCAACCCCCGGAACCCCCCCCCCUUCUGGAUCCCCACUGGUAUACAUGUUAUGUAUGUCUGACAUGAUGACUCAGCUAUCACACAUAAGAAACAAAGUGAAAUAUAGUUUUUUAAAUACAAUGUAUUAGUAGAUAUUGACAGUAGAGUUCUAGUUAAUCUAUAUUAAUUAAUAUUGACAUCACUACAUGUAGUUUUAUUAUGGAUUUCUGUAUAAUUUCAGGUUCUGAAAAAAUCACAGGGGAUGAUAAAUUUAGACAAGAAGGAUCGACCACCAACAUGCUACACUUACUGGAACUUGAAAAACCUGCAAUUCACAAGAACAAGCCAAAGACUAGUAUUACCGUACAAAGUGGUUGAGGGUAUGGUCCCAGCUAUCCAAACCUGACAAAUUAUUGGUAACAAGCAAUCUUUACCAAAAGGAACAUCAAGCCGACACGCUUUGCAGACUUUGAAAGUGAUAAUUUAUAAAUUUGGUUAAGGCUAUUGAAACAACAAACUGUGAAAACGAGCAAUUUAAAAACACAUUCUUCGUCAAAACUGUGAUUCAUUGAAAGAAGACGUAGUGUGCGCCAAGUCAGUUGAGAGCUUCAAAACAGCUCACCAAGGCCGUCAAGUUAAAGCCAGAAUUGGGACCUUCGAUGUAACAAUGCAGAUACAUAUAGCAUGAAAAGUUUUAUAUAAUGAACAUUUAUAUUUAUAUCUAUUGAUGUUUCAGUACAAGUAUGAUUAUUUGUUUUUGUUGUGAUCUAUGACAUACAUGUAUAGUAUAAACAAUUUUGAGAAAGUGUUAUCUGUAUACAUGACAGUUCCGUGAAAAUG
rnacentral:lncRNA from 1 species